CUUUUACAAUGAAGAGUUUGAUCCUGGCUCAGGAUGAACGCUAGCUACAGGCUUAACACAUGCAAGUCGAGGGGCAGCAUUUUAGUU
rnacentral:rRNA from 1 species